rnacentral:rRNA from 1 species
UUUAUGGAGAGUUUGAUCCUGGCUCAGGAUNAACGCUGGCGGCGUGCCUAAUACAUGCAAGUCGAGCGAACGGACGAGAAGCUUGCUUCUCUGAUGUUAGCGGCGGACGGGUGAGUAACACGUGGAUAACCUACCUAUAAGACUGGGAUAACUUCGGGAAACCGGAGCUAAUACCGGAUAAUAUUUUGAACCGCAUGGUUCAAAAGUGAAAGACGGUCUUGCUGUCACUUAUAGAUGGAUCCGCGCUGCAUUAGCUAGUUGGUAAGGUAACGGCUUACCAAGGCAACGAUGCAUAGCCGACCUGAGAGGGUGAUCGGCCACACUGGAACUGAGACACGGUCCAGACUCCUACGGGAGGCAGCAGUAGGGAAUCUUCCGCAAUGGGCGAAAGCCUGACGGAGCAACGCCGCGUGAGUGAUGAAGGUCUUCGGAUCGUAAAACUCUGUUAUUAGGGAAGAACAUAUGUGUAAGUAACUGUGCACAUCUUGACGGUACCUAAUCAGAAAGCCACGGCUAACUACGUGCCAGCAGCCGCGGUAAUACGUAGGUGGCAAGCGUUAUCCGGAAUUAUUGGGCGUAAAGCGCGCGUAGGCGGUUUUUUAAGUCUGAUGUGAAAGCCCACGGCUCAACCGUGGAGGGUCAUUGGAAACUGGAAAACUUGAGUGCAGAAGAGGAAAGUGGAAUUCCAUGUGUAGCGGUGAAAUGCGCAGAGAUAUGGAGGAACACCAGUGGCGAAGGCGACUUUCUGGUCUGUAACUGACGCUGAUGUGCGAAAGCGUGGGGAUCAAACAGGAUUAGAUACCCUGGUAGUCCACGCCGUAAACGAUGAGUGCUAAGUGUUAGGGGGUUUCCGCCCCUUAGUGCUGCAGCUAACGCAUUAAGCACUCCGCCUGGGGAGUACGACCGCAAGGUUGAAACUCAAAGGAAUUGACGGGGACCCGCACAAGCGGUGGAGCAUGUGGUUUAAUUCGAAGCAACGCGAAGAACCUUACCAAAUCUUGACAUCCUUUGACAACUCUAGAGAUAGAGCCUUCCCCUUCGGGGGACAAAGUGACAGGUGGUGCAUGGUUGUCGUCAGCUCGUGUCGUGAGAUGUUGGGUUAAGUCCCGCAACGAGCGCAACCCUUAAGCUUAGUUGCCAUCAUUAAGUUGGGCACUCUAAGUUGACUGCCGGUGACAAACCGGAGGAAGGUGGGGAUGACGUCAAAUCAUCAUGCCCCUUAUGAUUUGGGCUACACACGUGCUACAAUGGACAAUACAAAGGGCAGCGAAACCGCGAGGUCAAGCAAAUCCCAUAAAGUUGUUCUCAGUUCGGAUUGUAGUCUGCAACUCGACUACAUGAAGCUGGAAUCGCUAGUAAUCGUAGAUCAGCAUGCUACGGUGAAUACGUUCCCGGGUCUUGUACACACCGCCCGUCACACCACGAGAGUUUGUAACACCCGAAGCCGGUGGAGUAACCUUUUAGGAGCUAGCCGUCGAAGGUGGGACAAAUGAUUGGGGUGAAGUCGUAACAAGGUAGCCGUAUCGGAAGGUGCGGCUGGAUCACCUCCUUUCU